AUUGAGAGUUUGAUCCUGGCUCAGGACGAACGUUGGCGGCGUGUUUAAGGCAUGCAAGUCGAGGGAUCGGCCGUAGCAAUACGGUACGGACCGGCAGACGGGAGAGGAACACAUUGGCAACCUACCUUCGAGACGGGGAUAGCCCCGGGAAACCGGGAUUAAUACCCGAUGGUCAUGGGGGGACAUAAGUCAUUCCCAUGUAAAUCAUUUCUGGCUCGAAGAGGGGCCUAUGCCCUAUCAGCUAGUUGGUGAGGUAAUAGCUCACCAAGGCUACGACGGGUAGGGGACGUGAGAGCGUGACCCCCCUCACUGGGACUGAGAAACUGCCCAGACACCUACGGGUGGCUGCAGUCAAGAAUCUUCCGCAAUGGACGAAAGUCUGACGGAGCGACGCCGCGUGCAGGAUGAAGCCCCUCGGGGUGUAAACUGCUUUUAUAGGGGACGAAUUUGUGACGGUACCCUAUGAAUAAGAGGUUGCUAACUCUGAAAUUUCGCUUAACAAUGGCCAGCAGCAGCGGUAAUACAGAGACCUCAAACGUUGUCCGGAUUCAUUGGGCGUAAAGCGUCCGCAGGUGGCAUGGAAAGUCAGGGGUCAAAGCUUCCGACUUAAUCGGAAAUCUGCUUCUGAUACUUCCAAGCUAGAGGUUGUGAGAGGCACACGGAACUGCCGGUGUAGUAGUAAAAUGCGUUGAUAUCGGCAGGAACACCAAAGGCGAAGGCAGUGUGCUGGAACAAUCCUGACACUCAGGGACGAAAGCGUGGGGAGCGAAUGGGAUUAGAUACCCCAGUAGUCCACGCCCUAAACUAUGUGUACUAGGUAUAUGGAGUAUCGACCCUCCAUGUGCCGUUUAAAAAAGCUAACGCGUUAAGUACACCGCCUGGGGAGUACGGCCGCAAGGUUAAAACUCAAAGGAAUAGACGGGGACCCGCACAAGCGGAGGAUCAUGCGGCCCUUAAGUGGGGUAACGAGCGCAACCCUCGUUGUGUGUUACAUUGGACACACGAGACUGCUCGCGCAAGCGAGAGGAAGGUGGGGACGACGUCAAAUCAGCAUGGCUCUUACGUCCCGGGCGACACGCAUGAUACAAUGGCCAGUACAAAGGGUUGCCAAGCCGCGAGGUGGAGCUAAUCCCAUAAAGCUGGUCUCAGUUCGGAUUGCAGGCUGCAACUCGCCUGCAUGAAGCUGGAUUCGCUAGUAAACGCGCAUCAGCCACGGCGCGUUGAAUACGUUCUCGGGUCUUGUACUCACCGCCCGUCACACCACGAAAGUUGGCAAUGCCCGAAGGCUCUCGUUCGAGGGACGAAGGCAGGGUCAAUGAUCAGGGUGAAGUCGUAACAAGGCAUCCGUAGCGGAAGCUGUGGAUGGAUCACCUCCUU
rnacentral:rRNA from 1 species